CCACCCAAUCCCUCCCUUCCUUUGAGGCCUCCGACCACCAUCGAUGCCUUCCAAGGUCACCCGAGCGCCUCAACCUGCUCUAUGUUAUGGAUCUGUACCCGCCGGCCACCACCAUCCAUGGCUCCUCUGCUAUUGGGACACCACAUCGUCCCAUCUCCUUUCUGGACAUCACCCUGCAACACCAACGCUUGGCCUGCUCCUCCACCACGGCCCUGCUCGGGACACGCCACCAUCGACGCCACCGUUGAGAAUCCACCCCAACUCGAGCAGUUCACCGGCGCCAUGGAGUUACGUGACCUAAAUCUCAAAUCUCGGCUGUUUCCUGUUUGUUGCAUCUCCGGAUCCCCAAAUCUGCUGCAGCUCUAGGAAUCCCCAAAUCCGACCUCAGAUCUGAUCUAUAGAACUGUGGUAUGGAUGCAUAAUAAUCCCGAAAACUGGUGCAGCUCCUUGGAUCUCAAAUCUCGUUCUGGAUUUCUGCUAUGUCUUUGAGGAAAUUGCAACCAUUUAUUGCUGCCUUAUUAUUACUUAAAUUAGUAUGGAUUCAACAGUACGUAUCUACAGGAUCUGAAAUUUUACUAAGAAUGGGUGGGUUACUUGGGAAAUUUCAAUUAGUUAUCAAACUUUUAGUACCAAUGGGUUGGAUACAACUGUACGUAUCCAUAAAUUUUCAUGUAAUGUUGUAUUUUGUUUCGAUUUCAGUGGGAUUUUUUCAUUGACUUACUAUACAACACCAUAAUAAUUCAAUCUCUAUUAUUUUUCUGUCCAUACUUUUUGAUUUUACCUGCUUUAAAUAUGUUGACAUUCAGGAAACACUAAGCUGCUACAUUGGAAAUACGAGGAACUUCAUCAGUGCAAGAAGUUGAUAUUCACUCAACGGCAAGAAAUAGUCUCAUAUUUUUCUUCCAAGUAGUAUGUACCAUUCCCCACUUUGAUACUUAUGAACACCCAUUUGAUAUAUCCUUUUCCUAGUUAUAGUUCAUCCAGAUCAGGAGUAGGAUUUAUGGUUCAUGAUCCAACUAAAAGAGAGGUGUAAUAUCCUCUGCCCUUGACAUGGUAUGGUACAUACUGUUAUUUCCCUACCUGUCUGCAAAUUCAUGUAUUGAUUAAUUUCGAUUCAAGUUUUCUAUCUCGCAAGAUCAUGCUAUCUUCAGUAUGCUGAAGAACAUCUGAAAUGCACCUAGACAUUAUAUUUCAGAGUAUUGACGAUGAAACUGUACCAGAGAAGGCCUAUUACCAAUAGCUAUGCUCAAGAUAUGAAUGCUCUGUUAUAACAAUUAACAAGACAAAGAUAUGCUCAGGGGCUCCUAUCGUAGGCUAUACUAUAUGUUAUCUUAAUUUAGUUACUCCGUUUACUACUUGCUUCUUGGAAUUUCUUACUGUCUUAUUAUCUAGUACUUAACAGUUCUUGUGUAUUCCUCAUAUUUAAGCUCACAGUGUUCUUCCUUCUCCCUUAAGUUGUAUUUUGUUUUCUUUCUUAUAUUAAAGAUUGAACAAUUGCAGUGCAAGCACACAAUUGGUUGUUCCUGUUCGAGAAGGUGCGCAAUCUUGCCGAGUUGCACAAAAUCAAUUAAAAUAGUAUAUUUGUACAUAGUUGGAACUAGUUGAUUGUAGCUCUUAGUUGUACAAGGUGGAUGCAAGUGUCUGGGUGCGAUGGCCCGUAGAUAUUGCAUUGCUCUGAAAAUUAUCAGUACAUUGCAUAGAUGAAUGGAUGUCACUCCUUACAUUGUUGUUUUGAACUUCUGUACUAAUUUACUGAAGCGUCAAGUAACAACUAUCCUCUGUUUGGGUCACCCCUUUCCCUAGUAGUGUUGCAUUCUAUGUCCUUAUGAAUUUUUGAUUGUCUUACUGUCCAGUACAGUAACAGUCUGCUCUCUAACUUGUUUGUCAAUAACUCCUUAUUUUAGUCUCUUUCAUUAUGUUAGGUUUUUGGGAAGAAUUAAAUGAACAUCAUCAGUGCAACAUAGAGGUUAAGGCAGGUGGUUGAGGAGCAAAAUCCAAGAUUGGGGAGCUAUGAGAGAUGCAAGAGCCUCUAAUCAAGGGUAACCUUGAAGAGAAGCUUGCAACUUAAGUUGCAACAAAAGAUUGUAGAAAAUGAGACCAUGGUACGUACAACAAUGGCUGACAAGAUGGCGUACUGCACACUCUAGAACUUCUCAACCAGAAAAUGCACUGCUACAGAUUUGAGCAGGCAUCAAGCAUGACGUUGACCUGAUAUGGUCCAAAUCGUAUCCAAGGAAAACUGCUCUCUGGUUAAAUUGUGACGAACCAAGCCAUAAUUGUAGUGAUCUGAAUGCACAUUUUGAUCGAAUAAUCACACUUAUUACACAGAAUGAAAUUAGUGUUUCCUUGAUUUUUCUUUGUACAAACUAUGAAAUGAUAAUUCAGUUAGUUAACCAGGAAUUAAUGUUCCAAACUAGGAUUCCUAAGUUCUAUACUUGUAAUGGUCCCAUUUACCUAGGGUGAGGGUCUAGGGAUGACCUGGUUUAAGUUUCCAUUCACUUUCUUGACAUCUGGUGGUUACCUUUUCUACUAUAUGUUCGAUAAGUUGUAUUGUCGUAUCAGCAAUUCUCACCACAUAAUAAGUUUUCUACACGAAAGGGGAUUGCAAGCUCAUAUAUACCUCCCUAACCAAACUAUAAACCAAAACAAAUAUGUUUUCGAUUUCGUCAGGCUUGCGCUUAUAAAGCAAUCCACAGUUAAUUUGAGAGCUGCAACCUCCCUGUAGGUUUCCUCUUUCACUGUCUCCAGGGAAAAGUUAUGAUUAAAAUAAGCAAGCCUAAUUUUUACAGAAUAUGGUCAGAAUUAGCUAAGUACAUAAAAGAUAAGACUUCGAAAUUUUCGGUAGAAAAGCAGUUUGAGUAAUCGAGUAUGGCAAGACCGCAAGAGCAAUAAAGCCAUGUCUAGUGUCCUCCUAAAUGGUUAUUUACCCCGCAAGAGUAAUCAGGAGUUUGGGAAGAAAAAAAAAGAUGCAACUUUGACUUCUACAAAAAAUGAGCGGAGAUAUUAGUAUGAACUAAAUGGUUAUUUACCCCGCCGUAUACUUGUGAUCGGCAUGUGAAUAAGUAAAGAUUAUGGAUAGCUUAGCUAGCCAACAUGGGAAAAACACUAUUACUCCUCAUGAGCUGCACACCUUUCAGGUGCAUCACGCUUACCAUGCUGCUGUAACCAGCGUUCUGAACAUUGCCCACUCUGCCACUUUAUAUAUCUCCUAACCAUAUGCACCUUUUCGGUUGGGUUCCUUCCAGUUGUCACCGGGUUAUGAGUGCUCAUUGUUACUGAAAUUCUGAUGUAUUUUUCUUGCUGAUGGGUUGAGAUUUUAGAAGGAACUGAAAGAGAAUCUGGACAAGUUUCGCCGUUGUCGUUGGCCCACAAAGAAAGCAGGAAAAUUCUACUGGGAAAUGUUCCGCUGCAACAAAUCCAGGUUCUGUCCCAUGGAGAAGUGCUCAGUUUGUCGAAGUGCGUGUAGAAAAGUGCAAUUUAUCCGUUAGAUUGUGUCCCGUUAGGAAGCACUCAGAUAGAAUGUACAACUGAAAAGUGGAGCAUGGAUACCUGAUUCGCAUUCCCCUUGUUCAAAGUGAUUAAAGAACAUGGGUGUUACUUUCUCGUUUCCCAAAAUUUUGAUCCGAAUAUUAAAAAAAAAGUUAUCCAUCUGUACAACGUUUAUAAUAUCAAUUUGACACGAUAAAUGAACACAAUCACCCCGUGUUUCUAAAUUGUUUAUUUUUAGCUUUGGGCCGGUGGUUGACGGAUUCAUUCACCGUUACUCAGAUAAGAAAUAUAAAGGGCAUUGCAGUACAACAGAAAAGCGGAGCAUUUCAAACAGCCCAAGGACUGUGAUGGUGUACAGAAGCAGCUGACGGACAUAAACAAAUACUUGGCUAAAUUUCAGUAUUACAUCCUGGCUUUGCAGAAAACAGUAACAACAUCUGAAAGCACCCUCAUGAGAUUGGCAUAUGAAUGACUAAAGAUUAGGCGUAGCUAGCAAACAUGAGAAAAACUGUUACUCCUCAUGAGCUGCACACCAUUCAGCAGCAUCACAUUUAUCGUGCUGCUAAUGUAACUGUGCUGUGAACAUUGUCCACUCUGUUUCUAAAUAUCUCUAGACCAUAUACAUCUGCAGGUUACUUCUGUUGGUCAUCAGGUUAUAAAUGUACACUAAUUAUUGAACUUUUGAUGUGUUUUCUUCCUGAUUGUUUGAUA